UGGGGAAUCUUGGACAAUGGGCGCAAGCCUGAUCCAGCCAUGCCGCGUGAGUGAUGAAGGCCUUAGGGUCGUAAAGCUCUUUCGCCAGAGAUGAUAAUGACAGUAUCUGGUAAAGAAACCCCGGCUAACUCCGUGCCAGCAGCCGCGGUAAUACGGAGGGGGUUAGCGUUGUUCGGAAUUACUGGGCGUAAAGCGUACGUAGGCGGAUUAGUCAGUCAGAGGUGAAAUCCCAGGGCUCAACCCUGGAACUGCCUUUGAUACUGCUAGUCUUGAGUUCGAGAGAGGUGAGUGGAAUUCCAAGUGUAGAGGUGAAAUUCGUAGAUAUUUGGAGGAACACCAGUGGCGAAGGCGGCUCACUGGCUCGAUACUGACGCUGAGGUACGAAAGUGUGGGGAGCAAACAGGAUUAGAUACCCUGGUAGUCCACACCGUAAACGAUGAAUGCCAGUCGUCGGGCAGUAUACUGUUCGGUGACACACCUAAC
rnacentral:rRNA from 1 species